GACGAACGCUGGCGGCGUGCUUAACACAUGCAAGUCGAACGGUGAAGCGCCUUCCUUUUUGGUGGGUGUGGAUGAGUGGCGAACGGGUGAGUAACACGUGAGUAACCUGCCCCCUUCUUCUGGAUAACCGCAUGAAAGUGUGGCUAAUACGGGAUAUUCUGGGUCUGUCGCAUGAUGGGUCUGGGAAAGAUAUUGUUUCGGUGGGGGAUGGGCUCGCGGCCUAUCAGUUUGUUGGAGGGGUGAUGGCCUACCAAGGCGGUGACGGGUAGCCGGCCUGAGAGGGUGGACGGUCACACUGGGACUGAGACACGGCCCAGACUCCUACGGGAGGCAGCAGUGGGGAAUAUUGCACAAUGGGCGCAAGCCUGAUGCAGCGACGCCGCGUGAGGGAUGGAGGCCUUCGGGUUGUGAACCUCUUUCGCCAGUGAAGCAGGCCUGCCUCGUUUGUGGGUGGGUUGACGGUAGCUGGAUAAGAAGCGCCGGCUAACUACGUG
rnacentral:rRNA from 1 species